rnacentral:rRNA from 1 species
GACGAACGCUGGCGGCGUGCCUAAUACAUGCAAGUCGAACGCAGUGGGGACGGGUGAGUAACACGUGGGUAACCUCCCAUCAGAGGGGAUAAAACUUGGAAACAGGUGCUAAACCGAUAUUGAAUGAUGGACCCGCGGUGCAUUAGGUAGUUGGGGAGGUAACGGCGCACCAAGGCCACGAUGCAUCGCCGACCUGAGAGGGUGAUCGGCCACAAUGGGACUGAGACACUGCCCAGACUCCUACGGGAGGCAGCAGUAGGGAAUCUUCGGCAAUGGACGAAAGUCUGACCGAGCAACGCCGCGUGAGUGAAGAAGGUUUUCGGAUCGUAAAACUCUGUUGUUAGAGAAGCGGUAUCUAACCAGAAAGCCACGGCUAACUACGUGCCAGCAGCCGCGGUAAUUC